AUAAAGUGGCGAACGGCUGAGUAACACGUGGGCAACCUGCCCUUUGCACUGGGAUAGCCUCGGGAAACCGAGGUUAAUACCGGAUACUCCAUAUUUGUCGCAUGGCGAAUAUGGGAAAGCUCCGGCGGCAAAGGAUGGGCCCGCGGCCUGUUAGCUAGUUGGUGGGGUAGUGGCCUACCAAGGCAAUGAUGGGUAGCCGGGUUGAGAGACCGACCGGCCAGAUUGGGACUGAGACACGGCCCAGACUCCUACGGGAGGCAGCAGGA
rnacentral:rRNA from 1 species